GGAAUAUUGGGCAAUGCCCGAAAGGGUGACCCAGCAACGCCGCGUGGAGGAUGAAUGUCGUAAGAUUGUAAACUCCUGUUAGAGGGGAAGAAUAAUUCCGAUCAAAUCGGAACUUGACUGUACCCUCAGAGAAAGCCCCGGCUAACUACGUUCCAGCAGCCGCGGUAAUACGUAGGGGGCAAGCGUUGUCCGGAUUUACUGGGUGUAAAGGGCGCGCAGGUGGGUUUGUAAGUCAGAGGUGAAAUCUCACGGCUUAACCGUGAAAGUGCCUUUGAUACUGUAAAUCUUGAGUACGGAAGAGAGAGACGGAAUUCCAGGUGUAGUGGUGAAAUACGUAGAUAUCUGGAAGAACACCAGUUGCGAAGGCGGUCUCUUGGUCCGAUACUGACGCUCAGGCGCGAAAGCGUGGGUAGCAAA
rnacentral:rRNA from 1 species